rnacentral:rRNA from 1 species
UGAGGAAUAUUGGUCAAUGGGCGAGAGCCUGAACCAGCCAAGUAGCGUGCAGGAUGACGGCCCUAUGGGUUGUAAACUGCUUUUAUGCGGGGAUAAAGUGAGGGACGUGUCCUUCAUUGCAGGUACCGCAUGAAUAAGGACCGGCUAAUUCCGUGCCAGCAGCCGCGGUAAUACGGAAGGUCCGGGCGUUAUCCGGAUUUAUUGGGUUUAAAGGGAGCGUAGGCCGUGGAUUAAGCGUGUUGUGAAAUGCAGGUGCUCAACGUCGGCACUGCAGCGCGAACUGGUCCACUUGAGUGUGCGCAACGCAGGCGGAAUUCGACGUGUAGCGGUGAAAUGCUUAGAUAUGACGAAGAACUCCGAUUGCGAAGGCAGCUUGCGGGAGCACAACUGACGCUGAAGCUCGAAAGUGCGGGUAUCGAACAGGAUUAGAUACCCUGGUAGUCCGCACGGUAAACGAUGGAUGCCCGUUGUCAGGCUGUUUCAGCCUGGUGACCAAGCGAAAGCAUUAAGCAUCCCACCUGGGGAGUACGCCGGCNACGGU